GACGAACGCUGGCGGCGUGCUUAACACAUGCAAGUCGAACGGAAAGGCCCUGCUUUUGUCGGGUGCUCGAGUGGCGAACGGGUGAGUAACACGUGAGUAACCUGCCCUUGACUUUGGGAUAACUUCAGGAAACUGGGGCUAAUACCGGAUAGGAGCUCCUGCUGCAUGGUGGGGGUUGGAAAGUUUCGGCGGUUGGGGAUGGACUCGCGGCUUAUCAGCUUGUUGGUGGGGUAGUGGCUUACCAAGGCUUUGACGGGUAGCCGGCCUGAGAGGGUGACCGGCCACAUUGGGACUGCGAUCCGGCCCAGCCUCCUACGGGAGGCAGCAGUGGGGACUAUUGCACAAUGGGCGGAAGCCUGAUGCAGCAACGCCGCGUUCGGGAUGAAGGCCUUCGGGUUGUAAACCGCUUUCGCCUGUGACGAAGCGUGAGUGACGGUACUGGGUAAAGAAGCACCGGCUAACUACG
rnacentral:rRNA from 1 species